rnacentral:tRNA from 1 species
GUCAAAGUGGCCGAGCGGUUAAGGCGUUGCACUCGAAAUGCAAUCUCCUCUGGAGGCGUAGGUUCAAGUCCUGCCUUUGACG